rnacentral:rRNA from 1 species
AUUGAACGCUGGCGGCAGGCCUAACACAUGCAAGUCGAACGGUAACAGGGAUCAGCUUGCUGAUUCGCUGACGAGUGGCGGACGGGUGAGUAAUGUCUGGGAAACUGCCUGAUGGAGGGGGAUAACUACUGGAAACGGUAGCUAAUACCGCAUAACGUCGCAAGACCAAAGAGGGGGACCUUCGGGCCUCUUGCCAUCGGAUGUGCCCAGAUGGGAUUAGCUAGUAGGUGGGGUAACGGCUCACCUAGGCGACGAUCCCUAGCUGGUCUGAGAGGAUGACCAGCCACACUGGAACUGAGACACGGUCCAGACUCCUACGGGAGGCAGCAGUGGGGAAUAUUGCACAAUGGGCGCAAGCCUGAUGCAGCCAUGCCGCGUGUAUGAAGAAGGCCUUCGGGUUGCAAAGUACUUUCAGCGGGGAGGAAGGGAGUAAAGUUAAUACCUUUGCUCAUUGACGUUACCCGCAGAAGAAGCACCGGCUAACUCCGUG